rnacentral:rRNA from 1 species
AUUGAACGCUGGCGGCAGGCCUAACACAUGCAAGUCGAACGAGUGGCGGACGGGUGAGUAAUGUCUGGGAAACUGCCUGAUGGAGGGGGAUAACUACUGGAAACGGUAGCUAAUACCGCAUACCAUCAGAUGUGCCCAGAUGGGAUUAGCUUGUUGGGGGGGUAACGGCUCCCCAAGGCGACGAUCCCUAGCUGGUCUGCGAGGAUGACCGGCCCCACUGGAACUGAGACACGGUCCAGACUCCUACGGGAGGAAGCAGUGGGGAAUAUUGCACAAUGGGCGCAAGCCUGAUGCAGCCAUGCCGCGUGUAUGAAGAAGGCUUUCGGGUUGUAAAGUACUUUCAGCGGGGAGGCGUUACCCGCAGAAGAAGCACCGGCUAACUCCGUGCCAGCAGCCGCGGUAAUAC